AUUUAGUGAAUAUAAAUUACCAUAUUCUGAUGAAAAAUGAAAAGGUUAAUAAACGACAAAGGAACAGAAAGUUGAAGGCAAUUGAGUAUAGACUUGAGGACGUCGGCAAGGCCGAUGGCGUCGACGAAUGACUGCGCCUUGAGGAAUGUUGUCCAGGCAACAUUAAAAAUCAAAAGCCAGUUUUAACUUUAGUUCAUAGCAUAGAUAGAUCAAAUAGAUAAGGAAAUAAUUAACGAUACAAUUGAUUGAUAUUUGUAGAAGCCUAGAAUAUCUAGCUUUACUGCUCUGUACAGCAUAAUUAUCACCAACUCUUGCUUAACUUGUUUUUAUAGAAGAACUUGGAACAGGUUUAAUUAGUAAGAAAAGAAGCAGAAAAUAAUGAAGAAAAAUUGAAAAGAAAUUUUUUUAUGAUCAUUAGGGAAUUAAUAGUUGAGUUAUGGAUCUACUGAGGAAGCAAGUGAAUCGUAAAAGAGAUUGGCAAUGAGUCAGGGAGAAAGUGAGUGAAGGACGUUGGAGCAACAGUUUUUAGGUUCAACUAGGAAGCUUGGUGAUUUAGAAAAUCAGUUUGCAACAAUAUUUAAUGAAUAACUCGACGAAAAAAAUUGGUAAAGAAUGAUUAAAAUAAGAAGAAAUGUUUUAUAUUAAGUCUGCCUUCCAAUACAUUGAUACUCUUGGAAAAUGGAUAGAUAAAAAUGGCAUUCAUUUAUUCAGUGAGUUAUAAUUUGACUGGAAAAUGAGUUAUUUCGGAUCUGUUGACUGAUUGAAUCAGCAAAAAUGAUGAAGGAUUAUUUUAGAAACUCACGAUGUCACUCAUGUCGAUAUUUUGUUUAUUUAUCAUCAUCUAGCACACAGUGAGCAUCAAGUGAAACAAGUCAAUAUAUUUUUAAAAUGAAAAUAAAACCAAAAAGCAUCGUUUCAUCUUGACUUGUGUCAAUAUUCCAAGUGUCUAAUUAACUCAAUAGUUUAUGAUUCAUCAAUUGUUCUCACUUACUCAAUAGAAUAGAUACUUUUUUGUUCAAAAACUGGUGACCAGGUCUUGAUAUCAGUCCAAUAAGUAUGAAUACUUGACUGAAUGUCUCUUCAUAAUAUGUUUACUCAAAUCUCCAACUGCUUCCACUUUUAGAACAAUUCAAUAAAUAUGAAUAAAUUGAUGAAAACUUCCAUUAGCUCAUCUGAUGAAUUUGAUUGCUCACCAGUUCAAUCAGUACAUCUGACAAUCAUUCCACUGCUUCAACCAGUAAAAUCCAACUCAC